AGGUGCUGGAAAUUUUAAAGUUCACAUCCUGCAUAAAGGAGCUAACAAGUGGUAUGAACUCCAAGAUCUUCAUGUCAAAGAGAUUCUGCCCCAAGUGAUAACUCUUUCUGAUUCCUAUAUACAGAUUUACGAGUUACAAAAAGAGUAACUGAUGUACAAAUAGCUGAUGACAGUAGCCUUACGGAACUUCAACAACACUGUUGGGAGUUGGACAUUGUUUGGCCUUGUUGUAAAGCAUGUCUUCGGGUCCACUCCUCCCACUAGAUUUGUGUCACACGCUCAGCGUUGACAUUGAUGGCACAAAAAAAAAAAAACGAACUGGCAAUAAAAUCACUUAAGAAUAUGGUGUCAAA